AUUAAUGGCUGCCACUUCUGAAAGCUACACAGCACCGUUCCAAUUGUACACUCAUGUUGGCUUUUUUGAUCUCUCUCUAUUUAGUGAAGGGAAUUCCAGUGGUCCUUCCCCAGGAGUGAACUCAGGCACCCAGUGUGUAAUCACCAGUGUCCUGGCUCUGUACCGUGAACCUUUCCUCACGAAGGAGAAGAAGGGCAAGCGUUUUCUGUAUUCUGUGUAGUUCCUUGGAGACAGUCAGCACCUUUGUGGGUCCAUGGAUGGAUUGGUGCAAAUACUUCAUGAGUUCAAAGGGCUUGUAAGCCGGAGAGGCGGGAAGCAGUUAUCACCCAAUACUCCGUUCCUGAACUGCCUUGCCCUGGUGGGCCGACUGACGGGUGAUUUCAUAGUCUGCUUGGGAGUCCAUCCUUGGGACUAGCCCCAUGGGUUGGCUGGUUAUGCGGAGCUUCCAGGAUGGAAACAUUGCCCACUCUCCCUGAAACACUAGGAUUUGGAGAGACUUUUGCCGGUUCUUCGAACACAAAUGGACUUGUAACAAAGUUCCAUAUGAACGACAUCAUAGAGAGCAUGAUCAAUAAAUAGUUCAAAAUGGA